rnacentral:rRNA from 1 species
UACGAAGGGGGCUAGCGUUGUUCGGAAUGACUGGGCGUAAAGGGCGCGUAGGCGGCGGACUAAGUCAGGCGUGAAAGCCCUGGGCUUAACCUGGGAAUUGCGUUUGAUACUGGUUUGCUUGAGUGCGGGAGAGGAUGGUGGAAUUCCCAGUGUAGAGGUGAAAUUCGUAGAUAUUGGGAAGAACACCGGUGGCGAAGGCGGCCAUCUGGACCGUUACUGACGCUGAGGCGCGAAAGCGUGGGGAGCAAAC